GACGAACGCUGGCGGCGUGCCUAAUACAUGCAAGUAGAACGCUGAAGAGAGGAGCUUGCUCUUCUUGGAUGAGUUGCGAACGGGUGAGUAACGCGUAGGUAACCUGCCUUGUAGCGGGGGAUAACUAUUGGAAACGAUAGCUAAUACCGCAUAACAAUGGAUGACACAUGUCAUUUAUUUGAAAGGGGCAAUUGCUCCACUACAAGAUGGACCUGCGUUGUAUUAGCUAGUAGGUGAGGUAACGGCUCACCUAGGCGACGAUACAUAGCCGACCUGAGAGGGUGAUCGGCCACACUGGGACUGAGACACGGCCCAGACUCCUACGGGAGGCAGCAGUAGGGAAUCUUCGGCAAUGGGGGCAACCCUGACCGAGCAACGCCGCGUGAGUGAAGAAGGUUUUCGGAUCGUAAAGCUCUGUUGUAAGUCAAGAACGAGUGUGAGAGUGGAAAAUUCACACUGUGACGGUAGCUUACCAGAAAGGGACGGCUAACUACGUGCCAGCAGCCGCGGUAAUACGUAGGUCCCGAGCGUUGUCCGGAUUUAUUGGGCGUAAAGCGAGCGCAGGCGGUUUGAUAAGUCUGAAGUUAAAGGCUGUGGCUCAACCAUAGUUCGCUUUGGAAACUGUCAAACUUGAGUGCAGAAGGGGAGAGUGGAAUUCCAUGUGUAGCGGUGAAAUGCGUAGAUAUAUGGAGGAACACCGGUGGCGAAAGCGGCUCUCUGGUCUGUAACUGACGCUGAGGCUCGAAAGCGUGGGGAGCGAACAGGAUUAGAUACCCUGGUAGUCCACGCCGUAAACGAUGAGUGCUAGGUGUUGGAUCCUUUCCGGGAUUCAGUGCCGCAGCUAACGCAUUAAGCACUCCGCCUGGGGAGUACGACCGCAAGGUUGAAACUCCAAGGAAUUGACGGGGGCCCGCACAAGCGGUGGAGCAUGUGGUUUAAUUCGAAGCAACGCGAAGAACCUUACCAGGUCUUGACAUCCCGAUGCUAUUUCUAGAGAUAGAAAGUUACUUCGGUACAUCGGUGACAGGUGGUGCAUGGUUGUCGUCAGCUCGUGUCGUGAGAUGUUGGGUUAAGUCCCGCAACGAGCGCAACCCCUAUUGUUAGUUGCCAUCAUUCAGUUGGGCACUCUAGCGAGACUGCCGGUAAUAAACCGGAGGAAGGUGGGGAUGACGUCAAAUCAUCAUGCCCCUUAUGACCUGGGCUACACACGUGCUACAAUGGUUGGUACAACGAGUUGCGAGUCGGUGACGGCAAGCUAAUCUCUUAAAGCCAAUCUCAGUUCGGAUUGUAGGCUGCAACUCGCCUACAUGAAGUCGGAAUCGCUAGUAAUCGCGGAUCAGCACGCCGCGGUGAAUACGUUCCCGGGCCU
rnacentral:rRNA from 1 species